GGUGGAUGCCUUGGCAGACA
rnacentral:rRNA from 2 species